CCCAGACGCAGAACGAAUAGCUUGCCGAAGGUUACACAGCUAAGGUGGUGCUGCUGGUGGGCCAGAACUUGAACUUGAGAAAGAUGCUUCCAGCUGUGUGCGGAAGUCGAGAGAUGGAUUCUGGGGCCAUGGAGCCCAGGGUUAGUAAAGGCAGUUGUGGGAUGACAAGCCGAAGGCCAGAGGUUGUUGGUGAAGUGAAUUUUGUUCCAGAGCCCUGAGACUCCUGAGCUGUGGAGAGGCCGCAGGUGCAAAGCAGAGACGACUCUCCCUACUUUACAGAUGGAGAAGCUGAGGUUCUAAGAUGAGCACACUGAGGCCCAAGGAGCUUAAGCAAUUUGCCCAAGGUCAAGAUUGGGAAUUUGAACUUCUUGAGUGCAGCUUUAUACCACAGCUCUCCACUACCUGAAAUUCCACUCUCGGCUAUCCCUGCUCUCUCUGGAAUGCACACACCUCAGAGACAGCCCUGAGACAACAGCAGCUCACCGUGGGGCUGGAUGGAGCCAGCCAAACCCACCCAGAUGCUUUCAGUGACUUCAGGCCUCACUCAAACCUCCUGAGUCUGAAUCUUCAGCAAAAGAUUGGAAGAGAUGGAGGAGCUGGAGGGGUUCACAGGGGCCAUUCUUCUUAAUACAUCUCCAGCAGAGAGUGCCCAGGCAGGCCCUGGGCUGGGCACUGAAACAUGCGGUAAUGUGACUGGCAGUACAACCUCCUACUACAGGGGUGGGGGAGGUGGGUUGAGAUGGGGGCUGUCCAGCAAUGAGGCAACGACCAUGGCUGCUUGGAAGCCUCGUCUCGGUCCCAGCUUGUCCUCGGGGGUAUGUGGUGUGGUAAGCAAAGGGUUAGAAGAAUCAGCAGGAAGAG